GCUUUGCGGCUGGAUCCCCUCCUUUCUAAGGAUGUUCUCUUCAGAUCGCCGGCUCCGCCGACCGGUCUUUCGAGAACUCUUGGAACAUCAGGCCUCUUUGAAGGCCAUUUUGCGGGGCGGCGCCGUCCUCGUUUCUCUUUCUCUCCAGCGCGCUCGCGGAAGGUCUCUGCGGCGCGCGGUCUUGGUGAUACGCCUGGGCGAAGCCGAGCUGAUCGCUUAGAGCUUCGGCCUCGGGGGCCGGUAGCUCAGGUGGUUAGAGCGCACGCCUGAUAAGCGUGAGGUCGGAAGUUCAAGUCUUCCUCGGCCCACCAUCCUCGCUUGUCGGGCUGCUGGUCUUUCGAGCGACGUUCAGGGGCCUUAGCUCAGCUGGGAGAGCAUCUGCUUUGCAAGCAGAGGGUCAUCGGUUCGAUCCCGAUAGGCUCCACCAUUCGUCGCCAAGACGAGAGAAGCCGCGCUUCGGCGCGAUGUCGUUUUCUGAAAUUGUGAAAAAGGGUCGUUUAUGCGGUCGGGUCCCCCGGCUGGUGAACGAUGCGAGAGUCAAUUGUCUGACUAUUCAUGUGCGUCUGAUCCGCUUUGCACGGGCGGGUCGAUCGACGCGCAUGAGAUUUGCUGACGAUCAAGUGUCUUAAGGGCGUUCAGGGGAUGCCUUGGCAGACGCAGGCGAUGAAGGACGUGCCAUGCUGCGAAAAGCUGCGGGGAGCUGCAAGGAAGCUUUGAUCCGUAGAUGUCCGAAUGGGGAAACCCGGAAGC
rnacentral:misc_RNA from 1 species